rnacentral:rRNA from 1 species
GCCUACGGGGCGCAGCAGGGGGGGAUAUUGCACAAUGGGGGGAACCCUGAUGCAGCGACGCCGCGUGGGCGAAGGAGUAUUUCGGUAUGUAAAGCCCUAUCAGCAGGGAAGAAGAAAUGACGGUCCCUGAGUAAGAAGCACCGGCUAAAUACGUGCCAGCAGCCGCGGUAAUACGUAUGGUGCAAGCGUUAUCCGGAUUUACUGGGUGUAAAGGGAGCGCAGGCGGCCCGCCAAGCCUGAUUUGAAAUCCCGC